GACUACUCGGGUAUCUAAUCCUGUUUGCUCCCCACGCUUUCGUGCAUCAGCGUCAGUAAUGUUCCAGCAGGUCGCCUUCGCAAUGAGUAUUCCUCUUGAUCUCUACGGAUUUUACCCCUACACCAAGAAUUCCACCUACCUCUCCCACACUCCAGAGUAACAGUUUCAAAUGCAGUUCUGUAGUUAAGCUACAGGAUUUCACAUCUGACUUAUUACCCCGCCUACGCACUCUUUACGCCCAGUGAUUCCGAGUAACGCUUGCACCCUCCGUAUUACCGCGGCUGCUGGCACGGAGUUAGCCGGUGCUUAUUCGUUAGAUACCGUCAUAAUCUUCUCUAACAAAAGGAGUUUACAAUCCUAAAACCUUCAUCCUCCACGCGGCGUUGCUGCUUCAGGGUUUCCCCCAUUGAGCAAUAUUCCCUACUGCUGCCACCCGUAGG
rnacentral:rRNA from 1 species